rnacentral:tRNA from 1 species
GGGAAUGUAGCUUAGUGGUAGAGUGCUUGCCUAGCAUGCAUGAGGUCCUGGGUUCAAUUCCUCAGCACCA